UGGGGAAUAUUGGACAAUGGGCGCAAGCCUGAUCCAGCCAUACCGCGUGAGUGAUGAAGGCCCUAGGGUUGUAAAGCUCUUUCACCGGUGAAGAUAAUGACGGUAACCGGAGAAGAAGCCCCGGCUAACUUCGUGCCAGCAGCCGCGGUAAUACGAAGGGGGCUAGCGUUGUUCGGAUUUACUGGGCGUAAAGCGCACGUAGGCGGACUUUUAAGUCAGGGGUGAAAUCCCGGGGCUCAACCCCGGAACUGCCUUUGAUACUGGAAGUCUUGAGUAUGGUAGAGGUGAGUGGAAUUCCGAGUGUAGAGGUGAAAUUCGUAGAUAUUCGGAGGAACACCAGUGGCGAAGGCGGCUCACUGGACCAUUACUGACGCUGAGGUGCGAAAGCGUGGGGAGCAAACAGG
rnacentral:rRNA from 1 species